CAGAAACUUAAAUGAAUUGACGGGUCCCCGCACAAGCGGCGGAGCAUGCGGCUUAAUUCGAUGCAACCCGAAGAACCUUACCUGGGCUUGACAUCAUGGGAAAAGCCGUAGAGAUACGGUGUGCAUUAGCGUCCAUGACAGGUGGUGCAUGGCUGUCGUCAGCUCGUGUCGUGAGAUGUUGGGUUAAGUCCCGCAACGAGCGCAACCCUUGUCCUAUGUUGCCAGCGGUUCGGCCGGGGACUCAUAGGAGACUGCCGGGGACAACUCGGAGGAAGGUGAGGACGACGUCAAGUCAUCAUGCCCCUUAUGUCCAGGGCUGCACGCAUGCUACAAUGGUCGGUACAACGGGCUGCGAUCCCGCGAGGGUGAGCGAAUCCCUUAAAACCGGCCUCAGUUCGGAUUGGAGUCUGCAACUCGACUCCAUGAAGUCGGAGUCGCUAGUAAUCGCGUAUCAGCAUGACGCGGUGAAUACGUUCCCGGGCCUU
rnacentral:rRNA from 1 species